rnacentral:rRNA from 1 species
AGUGAACGCUGGCGGUAGGCCUAACACAUGCAAGUCGAACGGCAGCACAGUAAGAGCUUGCUCUUACGGGUGGCGAGUGGCGGACGGGUGAGGAAUACAUCGGAAUCUACUUUUUCGUGGGGGAUAACGUAGGGAAACUUACGCUAAUACCGCAUACGACCUACGGGUGAAAGCAGGGGAUCUUCGGACCUUGCGCGAUUGAAUGAGCCGAUGUCGGAUUAGCUAGUUGGCGGGGUAAAGGCCCACCAAGGCGACGAUCCGUAGCUGGUCUGAGAGGAUGAUCAGCCACACUGGAACUGAGACACGUUCCAGACUCCUACGGGAGGCAGCAGUGGGGAAUAUUGGAAAAGGGGCGCAAGCCUGAUCCAGCCAGACCGCGUGGGUGAAGAAGGCCUGCGGGUUGUAAAGCCCUUUUGUUGGGAAAGAAAAGCAGCAGGUUAAUACCCCGCUGUUCGGACGGUACCCAAAGAAGAAGCACCGGCGAACUGCGU